CCUCACGGCUGCUGCUGCAAACACCCACACACACAGGAUGCUGUGAGCAAUUUCCUCAAACUCUACUAUUUGGUUGUGUGUUCCCACGGCAACCAGAGAUGCCUCCUCUCAAUAGAAGAUGCAGCUGCUGAGGAGACCCCAUCCUGCUUCCUCCUGCUUCCUCCUCAGCUGCUGAUUCUGCCUCAACACACCAAACUGGAGACUCGACUGGACUGGAGUUGAACUUAAAGCUCUCAGAGAAGCCAAAAUCCUUUCGUCCAAACCUGCUGUGAUUGUCUUGAACGUAACUUUGCAACACUGACGGUUGCUGUUUGCAAGCUGCCACAUUAUAUGAAGUUGGAUCUCACUUUUGGGCAGAAGUGUGAAGUUAAUACCAAGAGAAACAGAUGAGCAUUCUACAACCAAACGUCAUUUUCCUCCGAUACACCACAGAAAAAGCUCAUAUUUCAUGUUUAACACUGUCAAGUCAAAGGUCAGUGCUCGUUCUCAACCUGCCUGUUUGCAAUGCUCUGUUUUCUUGUCCUGUGUUAAAGCUCUGCAG